GGUUAUAGAAGGAUAAGCUUAAGACCUUAAUUUUAUAGUC
ncrna:unclassified sequences S4-Flavobacteria ribosomal protein leader